rnacentral:lncRNA from 1 species
UCAUGCUGUCUGAUCUAGGGCCAAAACCGGCACAGGUAUAACCUGCAAUUACCUCAUUACAACAAUUGAGGAAUGAGCGAAAUAAUACUUCCGCAUUCAGUAUAAAACACAAUAAAUUUUAACUGGCUCUUCUUCAAGAAUGAGAUGAUCAAUCUGUUUUCUCGGCCAAAUAGUGCUCAAGCAUAUCUUCUUCAUCAUCUGUCCACACAAAAAAAAUUAACGAAAAAUAAUCAUGUCAUUUUGAUUCACAAACAAAUAAAUAGAAGAAAACCAAGAACAAGGAAACUGACCUUCAAAAUCAUCAUCAUCAAAAUCAAUAUCAUCCUCAUCUUCAUCAGAUUCUUCAGUAAUAGCUGCCGCAGCUUUCUGUUGACAACAAAAAGAAACAACCCCUGUUUAGCAAUAGCCACAGCUAACCAUAUUAUGAACCCACAACCUUGCCUAAGCAGCUUAUACAGUAACAGGACCUCGCCCCGAUUCGAAGGAGACACCACUACAUACAGCAAACACUUUUGACUUACAAACAUUCACCAAUACAGCGGAAUGCAGUAUAAUAUUUAGCUGUUUGAAUUAAUGUAUGGUCAGGGAACAUUACGAGCAGCUGGAAUAAUCAAAAGGAAAAGAAACAGAGCCCAGAGCAGCACUUCUAUUAUACAGGAAUUC